rnacentral:piRNA from 1 species
UGAGAAGCCAGGUUCUCUGGCCCAGU